GACGAACGCUGGCGGCGUGCCUAAUACAUGCAAGUAGAACGCUGAAGGAGGAGCUUGCUUCUCUGGAUGAGUUGCGAACGGGUGAGUAACGCGUAGGUAACCUACCUGGUAGCGGGGGAUAACUAUUGGAAACGAUAGCUAAUACCGCAUAUGAGUAGAUGUCGCAUGACAUUUGCUUAAAAGGUGCAAUUGCAUCACUACCAGAUGGACCUGCGUUGUAUUAGCUAGUUGGUGAGGUAACGGCUCACCAAGGCAACGAUACAUAGCCGACCUGAGAGGGUGAUCGGCCACACUGGGACUGAGACACGGCCCAGACUCCUACGGGAGGCAGCAGUAGGGAAUCUUCGGCAAUGGACGGAAGUCUGACCGAGCAACGCCGCGUGAGUGAAGAAGGUUUUCGGAUCGUAAAGCUCUGUUGUAAGAGAAGAACGAGUGUGAGAGUGGAAAGUUCACACUGUGACGGUAUCUUACCAGAAAGGGACGGCUAACUACGUG
rnacentral:rRNA from 1 species